UGGCCCAAACCCACAAUCUUUAGCUCUAAUAUGAACUUUUGGACUUGACAUUUAGGCCUAUCACAUAACAUGUAGACCUAUAACGUCUAGAUGUUCUGUUGUCUCCUCUGCAAUUCAUCGGAAACGUCAUCUCCUCUGCAGUUCAUCGGAACCGUCGUUGCUUCAUUCAUGGCUGGAGACAUUUGCUCAUCUGGAAUCCCAUGAAUAAGACGUUGUUGGCCGGCUCUUACGAUUUUGGGAUGCCCGUAAUAUUAAAAAAACGGUGAAUUCAUGGGCAUAGUCGUCCUCUUGCUCGACGAGAAGCUGUUCGUGCCAGCCAAUUCCGCAAUGUUUUACAAGAAGGGCGAAUCUUUUGUGUUGGAGGGUUUGAAGUGGGAAGGUGCACAAACCUCUACAAAAUUACUGACAACCCAUUUGUCAUCCGUUUCCUACCUUCAACAACAAUUGUUGAAGUGAAUCACGUUGGAGCUACAAUAGAAAGAGAAAAAUUUAUGCUUCGCAAAGGAGAUCAUCUCCAAGCUCUUGCAAACAUUAAUCUUGAACUACCAGGUCUACCAUUGUGUACCUAUCAUUAUGGGAUGACGCAGCUGCAACCUUUCAAGCUUAUCUCACUUCUGGAGACACGAUAAAUUCUGUCAUGUUGGUAACUACAAUAAAUCCAAAGCUGUUUGGAGGUAAUUUGUAUUUGAACUCCACUCCAGCAACCCGGUUUUAUUUCGACCUUUCCAUUGAGGCAAUCAACCAAUUUACAAAAAGGUCAUGCUUAUUACAACUAAUAAUUUCAAAGUACCAUUGAGGUUAUCAAAAUCUAACCGAGUUGUUUCUUAUGGAGGAUGGGAAUAGAAGCUACCAAGCAUUUGCAAAAGCAGACACAUCCGAAGGAAUAAAAAAAAGAAAUGCUUUGCAUUGCUGAACUUUACAAGUUCAUAUCAAACUCUAAUGAACAUGUUAUUUUUACUAUGAACUACACAUAUUUAAAUAUGUAAUGUGACUCUGAAAUUCAUUUUAAAAUCAUGGAACAGACACAGGAAGCUGAUUUCAUUUGCACCGCCAAAGUUCCUGAUGUCCUACAAAAAAGUGGUUGGUCAUAUGUUUCAUGUGCUAUGUGCAGCCGCAAAUUAGACAAAUAUGGAACAACCUUACGAUGCCCAAAAUGCAUUUCUGAGACUGUCACUGGCGUUGUGAGGUAUUAAAAUAUUUCACUGGCGAAUUUCUUCUUGAUGCAAGGAGUUUAAAAGCUGUUGCUAUUGAACACCCAAAGGGUGCUAAGAAAGAAAUUGAUUCCAUUUAUUACAUAGACUAUGAAAACUA